GUGGUUUGCAAAAUGUUGGCCAUAAUACAUUUGCAUAUGCAUAAGCCAAACUUUAAGGCAAUGGAGUUGUGUUUAUUGGCUGCAUCAAACCAAGGCAACAUGUGCUAAGUUAUUUGGACCAUUGUGUGGCCAGUGACUCGUACUGCCUAAGGUGACAGAACAAGGGAUCAAGUCCACCCAUUAACAGCCAUUACAGAGAACCUAAGUACAUCACAUGACCAUUCCUGAUGGAAGCAGACUUGCGGGUAAAGGAGUAGGAACGUGAAUGAAGAAGACUUGCAGUGAUCAUGUCAGCGAGCCCUGAAUAGCAUGAUGUACAGAGCAUUCAAACUGGCUGUAUCACCGUCUGUUAUGGAGGUGGGAGAGGGGCUACUGCACAGGAUCGAAGUGAACAGCAGAGAGUUGUAAAAUUAGUCAACUACUGCAUGGGCACCAACAUCCAUAAUAAGAUAUCUUCAAAAAGGCAGCAUCCAUCAUUAAGGAUCACCACCUCCCAGGGCAUGCCCUUUUCUCACUGUUACCAUCAGGUAGGCGGUACAGAAACCUGAAGGCACACACUCAGCGAUUCAAGAACAGCUUCUUCCCAUCUGCCAUCCGAUUCCUAAAUGGACUUCGAACCCUUGAAUACUACCUCACUUUUAAAAUAUCUACUAUUUCUGUUUUUGCAUGAUUUUUAAUCUAUUCAAUAUACAUAUACUGUAAUUUAUUUAUUUAUUUAUUUAUUUUUUUAAUUCUAUAUUAUGUAUAGCAUUGAACUGCUGCUGCUAAGUUAACAAAUUACAUGGCACAUGCUGGUGAUAAUAAACCUGAUUCUGAUUCUGAAAUGGAAAUUACGGACUUUCACAUUUGUGCAGGAAUCUCAGGAUGUGGCAGAUAUUUGCCUGCCAUUUUUCAAUGAAAUCUGGCCUGACCAACUUAGUAGGAGGACUCAGAUAUAUUUUUGGACAUGAGCCAAAGCAGGCAAACUGAAUCUCUUUUAUCUGCAUUUCAACACAUGGCUUUGUAAAGAUUAUUUAAUGAGAAGAAAUUUUUGCUGCAAUUAACUAUUCAUCCUGCAGGUGGCUCUCUGUCUCUAUGGCCUCAACUAAUGAAGGAAUAACCUUCCGAGUGAAGAAAAUAAUUCUGUAAUUGUUGAACAAACUCAUCAUGUGAAUUGUAUAAUGGAGAGUUAUCUAAAUCAUAAAUUAGUAGAUUCUCUACUUUAAACUUUCAUAAAAUUAGAGACAACUAUGUCAAACGUGCUAUUGUAAAUAACAUACUCUAACAAAUAACAAUUCUUUUAAGCCAUUGAAGAUGCCUCAUUAUUCCUUAAAUUCACAUGUUGCAAGUUAAUCUGGUAUAUAUUAUUGAUAAACUCAAACGAUACAGACAAGUGUAUAGGCUUAUUCAACGCAAAAUGAUAUAAUUUGCACAUCUUAUUUUAGGUAAAUGAAUGAAGGGAAUUUCUGUCUCUAUAAUGAAAGUGCAAAUACAAUGAACCUCGCCAUGAGAAUAAUAGAUAGCCUGGAUCUCAGAGAGGCCAUUAAGUGGUAGAGCUGGGUCACACAUAACUUUUCUGCUUAAUUAGGGUAAAAAUGGAGCCUGAGUAAGGAGUUUUUCUUACUCAUUCAAACUACAUCUGAAUCCAUUUUCUCUUCUCUGCCCCCAACUGUGGCCCUUCAUUCACCUUGUAUUGGAUGUGAACCAAUAGUCUGCAGAGGUCCAAGUCUUGUGAAACUGCUCAAGUCCUUUCUGAAUCAUAGGAGGAAAGCUGUUGAAACAGAACAGGACACUGCCUCACAUCGUCAGUGUUUUAAUCAAGGACUACCGACUGUAUUGUCUGUAAUUCUGGUUUUUAUCCUCACUUCAUGCUGAGAUUUGCUCAUCAAUAUUAAUUGUGCUCUGUCCUUCCAAUUGCAAAUCAAUGAGAAUUCAACUUGGUUUGAUUGCGGAGUGAUUUAAAUGAAAUAAAAUUAGCCUUCACUGAACCAAUUAUAACUUUAAUACAGUUUAGCAGUAAAAUUAGAGAUACUUCCAUCUUAUAGGAUUUAAGCGUUUUGAUAGCUCUUUUGUAAAAAUUGAAUUUUAGCAUUCUCGGGGACAAUGUUUUAAAUGAAAAACCAAAAGUUUUCACAUAUUUUAAUGGAUUUGCAACCACAAAAGAGGGAAGAAGUUUGUCUGGGGUCUCUUGUUCUAAAUGUGUAACAUAGUGUAAGAGAUGCCUCAUGUUUCACUUCUGAAAUUCAGUGCAGUCGGAGCAGAGCAUAGCUUACAGCUUCAACCACAACAAGAAACCUAAGGCAACUUCCACCCCUAAACUACUGUAUUUAAUAGCUCUCCUUAAUAAAUAAGAGCCUUGUGAAGUUACCUCAGGUUGACGCUGUUACUUAUCCUUUAAUAAACAGUCAAGUAGGCCUAUCAUUUAGAACAUUUAAAAAGUGCGGGAAAUGAAUUUGGAUUUUAUUGAACAAAUGUUUUACCUAUUGUAUUUCUGGUCAUUCACAACUGAACACUGUUGCGCAGCUGAACAACUUUAAAUCUUCCUCAAGGGGUUGGAGCUCAACUUUGAGUUAAAGAAUUCACAACUUUUCAAGAAACAAAGUAAUAGCAAAACUUUUACUUUAUUGAAGAAUGAAUUGUUUUCAUUUAAAUUCUUAACUUCAGCUCACACCCCAGCCAAAUCAUUGGCAUUUGGUGAACAUAUGGAACUGUUUGGUGCACUCCUAUCAGGGAGGAGGCUACAUAGCAUCCAUGCCAGGACCACCAGAUUCAAAAACAGUUACUGUACUUGCCACAAGCAGUAAGGCUGACUAAUGCCUCCACCCACUAACUUCAACACCACUUUAUUAUUUCCUGUCAGUCACCCUACGUGGACAUACCACCAAACUGUAGUAUGCAUAUAAGCCAUGUUAUUUACUUAUAUUUAUUGUGUGUUUAUUUUAUUAUUAUUGUGUUUUUUUGUGCUGAAGUAAUAACUAUUGUGUUCUCCUUACCCCUGUGUACAGGAAAUUACAUUAAACAAUCUUUAAUCUGGAAUAUAUAGCAAAGAGUUAAUAAAAUAUCUUAAAACAGAAUGGAUUU